AGCUCGUGUCGUGAGAUGUUCGGUUAAGUCCGCUAACGAGCGCAACCCUCGCCUGUGUGUUACAAGUAGUCACACGGUACUGCCGGUCUUAAGCCGGAGGAAGGUGGGGAUGACGUCAAGUCAGCAUGGCCUUUAUGUCCUGGGCUACACACACGCUACAAUGGCCAACACAAUAGGUUGCUAAGCCGCGAGGUGGAGCCAAUCCUCAAAGUUGGUCUCAGUUCAGAUUGCAGGCUGCAACCCGCCUGCAUGAAGAUGGAGUUGCUAGUAACCGCAGGUCAGCUAUACUGCGGUGAAUACGUUCCCGGGGCUU
rnacentral:rRNA from 1 species